rnacentral:rRNA from 1 species
GAUGAACGCUAGCGGCAGGCUUAAUACAUGCAAGUCGAGGGGCAGCAUGAGUGUAGCAAUACAUUUGAUGGCGACCGGCAAACGGGUGCGGAACACGUACACAACCUUCCUAUAAGUGGGGAAUAGCCCAGAGAAAUUUGGAUUAAUACCCCGUAACAUAAUGAUGUGGCAUCACAUUAUUAUUAUAGCUUCGGCGCUUAUUGAUGGGUGUGCGGCUGAUUAGAUAGUUGGCGGGGUAACGGCCCACCAAGUCUACGAUCAGUAGCUGAUGUGAGAGCAUGAUCAGCCACACGGGCACUGAGACACGGGCCCGACUCCUACGGGAGGCAGCAGUAAGGAAUAUUGGUCAAUGGACGCAAGUCUGAACCAGCCAUGCCGCGUGAAGGAUUAAGGUCCUCUGGAUUGUAAACUUCUUUUAUCUGGGACGAAAAAAGGCUAUUCUUAGUCGCUUGACGGUACCAGAUGAAUAAGCACCGGCUAACUCCGUGCCAGCAGCCGCGGUAAGAC